CCAAAACACAGGCAAAAGCCUGACAUUUCCUCAGUCCCCAUGGUUUUUAUCCAGAUCGUGGGAAGCCACCCUUCAGAUUGCUGUGCUACAUGCUGAUGAGUCAAUCUGUUGCACUGGAUGUCUUCGGAGAAGGACAGAAAUAACGAUCCUACUGUCCUGUGAAGAGCUGGAGAGGAAAUGUCAGCCAACAGCAUAUGCAAGUUCCCCAAAGCAGCAUCUCUGGAGCAGUCAGUAAUGGAGAUGGAGGAAACGUGAAGCUUGGAGAGAAAAGUCUCUCUGAAUAACUACUACUAACAUGGAAGAUAAAGAAAUCAGAGUGAUCCAUGUUCAGGGAAGGACCAAUGUGAGAGGUGUGUAUGGUGGUGGAAAAGUAUGAGUGUUACUGGAAGGACAGAGAAAUCUGAACAUCUGCUUGCACUGAUAAUGCUGAAAGACAACAAGUUGUCUCUUGAAUUUUCUCAAGGGAGUUUUCUUUGUAUUCUGUGUAUUCU
rnacentral:lncRNA from 1 species